GAAAGUCGUGUGCAAUGAAAAAUGCAAGCACGGUUUGGGGAGGGAUUUUUUCCUCUAUUGUAACAAGGAAAAAUUAUCUACUCCAU
rnacentral:ncRNA from 1 species